CCUACGGGCGGCAGCAGUGAGGAAUAUUGGUCAAUGGACGAGAGUCUGAACCAGCCAAGUAGCGUGAAGGAUGACUGCCCUAUGGGUUGUAAACUUCUUUUAUAUGGGAAUAAAAUGAUCCACGUGUGGGAUUUUGUAUGUACCAUAUGAAUAAGGAUCGGCUAACUCCGUGCCAGCAGCCGCGGUAAUACGGAGGAUCCGAGCGUUAUCCGGAUUUAUUGGGUUUAAAGGGUGCGUAGGUGGAUUGUUAAGUCUGUUGUGAAAGUUUGCGGAUCAACCGUAAAAUUGCAGUUGAAACUGGCAGUCUUGAGUACAGGAGAGGUGGGCGGAAUUCGUGGUGUAGCGGUGAAAUGCUUAGAUAUCACGAAGAACUCCGAUUGCGAAGGCAGUUCACUGGACUGCAACUGACACUGAGGCUCGAAAGUGUGGGUAUCAAACAGGAUUAGAUACCCCUGUAGUC
rnacentral:rRNA from 1 species